rnacentral:rRNA from 1 species
GAUGAACGCUAGCGGCAGGCCUAAUACAUGCAAGUCGAACGGUUCAUGGUUUUCGGAUCAUGGAUAGUGGCGCACGGGUGCGUAACGCGUACACAACAUACCCUUUACUGGGGGAUAGCGGUGGGAAACUGCCAGUAAUACCCCAUGUCCUCGCGAGGUGGCAUUAUUUUGCGAGGAAAGUUACGGCGGUAAAGGAUUGGUGUGCGUCCGAUUAGCUAGUUGGCGGGGUAACGGCCCACCAAGGCGACGAUCGGUAGGGGGUGUGAGAGCAUGGCCCCCCCANACGGGUACUGAGACACGGACCCGACUCCUACGGGAGGCAGCAGUAAGGAAUAUUGGACAAUGGUCGGAAGACUGAUCCAGCCAUGCCGCGUGAAGGAAGAAGGCGCUCAGCGUUGUAAACCGCUGUCAGAAGGGAGGAAAUACAUAAGGGUUCUCUCUUAUGUUUGACCGAUCUUCAGAGGAAGUCCGGGCUAAGUUCGUGCCAGCAGCCGCGGUAAAGUCUAGC